rnacentral:rRNA from 1 species
AUUGAACGCUGGCGGCAGGCUUAACACAUGCAAGUCGAGCGGGGGAAGGUAGCUUGCUACCGGACCUAGCGGCGGACGGGUGAGUAAUGCUUAGGAAUCUGCCUAUUAGUGGGGGACAACAUCUCGAAAGGGAUGCUAAUACCGCAUACGUACUACGGGAGAAAGCAGGGGAUCUUCGGACCUUGCGCUAAUAGAUGAGCCUAGUCGGAUUAGCUAGUUGGUGGGGUAAAGGCCUACCAAGGCGACGAUCUGUAGCGGGUCUGAGAGGAUGAUCCGCCACACUGGGACUGAGACACGGCCCAGACUCCUACGGGAGGCAGCAGUGGGGAAUAUUGGACAAUGGGGGGAACCCUGAUCCAGCCAUGCCGCGUGUGUGAAGAAGGCCUUAUGGUUGUAAAGCACUUUAAGCGAGGAGGAGGCUACUCUAGUUAAUACCUAGGGAUAGUGGACGUUACUCGCAGAAUAAGCACCGGCUAACUCUGUGCCAGCCGCCGCCGUAA